GAGUUCCAGAGCCUCAAAGAGCACCCAGCAUAACUGUGGGAGAAUAGUAAGCAUUGGACACAAAAUGGUUUAGGCAAAUAAUGAUGAACAAAAAUGGUCAGUCUGUGUUCCUGCUGACCCAGCACAGUGGGGACGCUGUGUAGGACAUGACCUUUGGGGGAAAGGACACAAGAACUCAGCGUGGGGGAUCCAGAAAAGAAGUCGCACGUAUUGAAGCCAGUAACGCCAAGCCAGUGAAUUCUCCUUGACGAGAAAGACCCACUUACUCUGCAGAAGAGAUAUAUGACAGCUGACAAUCCCUGGAGGAGAAUCUUUCUACUAAAUUGGUAAGGGAUGCUAAGCAAAUGAUGUGGACUCAGGAAACAACGCAUUUCAUGAUAUACGGUUGCCUCUCAAGGUGAAUUCGAGACCCCUCUUGAAUUACAAAGAGUUGAAAACAUUCAAGUACGGAAUAAACUAUUACUGCGAAUACGCUCAUAUGACACAAGAACAAUCUCUGAGCUUCUUUGAGGAUGUCCAGAUGACUGCUGACUGCACUAAUUGCAUCAAUCGUGUAUCCAUACAGGUUCUUUCUAUAAAAUAGUGGUCGCUAGUUAUGAGGCGUUAAGCCUUCAUGGAUAUAAACAGACUAUUCCACCUAAGUGAUCUGGCAGAAGCUUAGUUUUCUACCACAACAUCCACCGUCCUCCCUCCCUCCCUUCCUAGCUGGUCAGAAAAGCUACUCAGAAUAAAGACUACAUUUCCCAGCCAUCUUUGCAGCUAGGUUUAUCCACCUGACUAAAUUCCACCGUAACUCCAGGUUGAAGAACUUCUACUUAUAGGCAUCUAUUCAACGAAGACGAAUCCUGGAAUGGGGAUGGAAAUGAUGGCUCAUGUCUUAGCAAACUACCAAACUGAUCCGAGAGGACAGGGAAGUCAGUGUGGGCGGCUCUAAGGAGCCUCCCUCUCUACAGCUGCGGCUCAGAGGAUUACGGCGCUUCAUCCACAAGGCAACAUUGCACAAGUAGCUUUUGAACAAAAGUCAUGGAUACUAUUAAUGAUAUGGUAAUCCUUAAUCGAGCUACCUCCCAGUAGUGAUUAUACUGACAUGGGAAGAAUAUCUAAGUCGUGGAGGCAGCCCACAACAACACUGUGUCAUUGUUCACCCCGGGCUCGACCAGGACUAACUUUUACCAGCAUCUCUAACGUCACCUUUCCCCUGAUGCCUCCCCACAACCCCUGGCCCCAGCUCCCAUUCCCGCCCCAUCAUAGCAAAAAAGUAGCAAAGAAAACCCUGAUCCUAAAUCUUUUUCUGGAUUUUUUUUUGCAAGUUCCCACACACAUUUAGUGUCGUCUCAAAAUUCACGCUGUCAACUGUCUCUAGGAAUCAUUUCCAUCUGAGAACAGACCACACAAAGGUUAGUUCGGUGGGUCUCAGUGAAGAUGUUUUAAUUGUCUGACAAUAGAUUCUUCCAUCAUUUGACUUGCAAAUACUGUCCUCUUGCUCUCAGAUAACAUGUUCAGAAUUAGACCAUUUGUCAAUAAAUUUCCCAAAACUCCUUAAUUAUGAUACUGAAAUACAA
ensembl:lncRNA LINC02436 long intergenic non-protein coding RNA 2436